UCAUGGUCAUGCUACCUGUGGGCUGGACGAGCCCACCACCCCGUCCUUGCAAGGGGGCGGGGGGCACUCACCGUGACGCACCACUCAUCCUCUGUUCUAGAUCUACCUCCACAUUACUUUCUGAGACACGAGGCCGGGAGGGGAAUGGAGACAGAAAGGGAGCAGCAGAGUUCAGCAAGAAGCACAGGUACAGGUCUGAAUGAAUGGAACUCCUCCCUCUUGACAAGUUCCCUGUGUGCUGAGCAUGCAAUGAUGAGGGUCUCCUUCUCCUCUCCUGGAGCUUCAAAACUAAACGGCCUCUCCUAGAAGGGCUUGGUAAUUUCUUCUCCAGUGACUAGCAAAAUGAGGUAGCUCCCAGUCCAAGAACCAGAGCUGAUUUAGUCCAGCUUUCACCUAUGGAGCAUCUACAAACUCUUGUUGUCUCAGCCUAGCUGCUUUGUUACCCCCAGCAUGAAAAAGCAUAUAGGCUCAGCAAACAACUUGCCAUGCAAUGGCCAAGGCAUUUUCCAUGGAUCCCAUUCUCUUUUUAAAAGAUUUUAUUUAUUUAUUUAUGAGAGACAAGCAGAGAGAGGCAGAGACAUAGGUAGAAUGAGAAGCAGGCUCCAUGCAGGGAGCCUGAUGAAGAACUUGAUCCCCAGAACCUGGAAUCAUGCCCUGAGCUGAAGGCAGAUGCUCAACCACUGAACCACCUGGGCGUCCCUUCCAUGGAUCUCUUAACACAAGGCAAGUGAAUCUGGUUCAACUUCAAAGCUCUGUGCCCCCAACCCACUGCCUCACCCAUCCCCAAGGAACACAGAAACCAGCUACUCUGUUCUCAUCCUCCCACACCCCUGUGGCCCUUCAGUGUCUUCCAAACCAAAAAGAGACCUACCACUUCCAGGGGGUAAACAAGGAAGUAGAAGAUAGAAAUUGAAGUAGACUCCCUAAAAGAACCAAUGGACAAUCUUUCCAUACCUUCCUUCAACACUAAGCAGUAGCUAAGCACCCAAGCCGUACGGAACAGGAGCUUGUAUUGACAGAGCAGCUUUUGGCGUCUCAUCACAGGUUGGCCAGGGUCCUUCCCCAGAGGGGAAUAUUUUGCUGUGAGUAAAUCUCAAGGAAUGGCCUCAUCCAACCUCCCACCUCAGAGGAAUCAGAACUGACAGGCAAAUUCCCAGUACCAGAGAAAAGCAACAAGGUUGAAGGGUGACCGAGGGUUUCCUGAGCUUUUGUUGAAGGCCACAGGUAUUCACAAACUCUUGUCGCUCUUUACUCAAGAUGUCAUGGAUGCUUUCUGAAAGGCAGGCUGGAGUGCAGGAAGAUGAAAUGGAUUAACCGUUCUGAGGACAGGCAGUGAUUAUGACCCAAGCCCCCAGGACCCUGAGGCUGCCAUCCAACCACUCAUCUAAUGCCACUUGUCUUGCAAUCCAAAGGACAGACAUGUGGUACAGAUAACAAGUCAGAAACUGGACAGAGCCAGCAAACGCUCUGAAAUGUGUUCUCCGCAAUGGGAGUGGGCUCCCCUCCGUCCACUGGGCUCAAUGCAGGGAAGGGCUUAUUACAUCUUGUGCACUGCAGUAUCCCUGACACCAAGCACAGUGCCUGGCACAUAGUUGGUGACCCAUACAUCUUUACUGAAUGACUGAGACUCUCCGCACCUUCUCUAUCCUGGAGCUAAGUCCGUGCACGGACACCAAGCAAGAUCAACUCCAUUUCAGUGGGCACUAAACCUAUGACCCUGGCUACUUUCUUCUGCUGCACUGAUGUGGGUGUAACUACAGAACUUGGGCCAACAUGGUCAGAACAAGGAAUCCGAGUGAGGAGGGGUCUGGUGAAGAUGGAGGGAGGGACUGGGAGCAGUCACUGAACUGAGAGCUUCAUGCCUUCUGGACUGGGGGCACCAGACUGCUGAUGCAUGAGAGGCAGUCAGACUCAGAAGAUUCCCUGCAGGAAGGAAGGGUCUUGAGCCAUCCUAAAGCAAGCGAUUCGUCCCUUGAUUCAAGAUCCAAGAUGAGUCACUCUAAACAGUAACUUGUGAAACACUCAGAAGUAAUCGAGUAGAUUCUUCCUCCAGAAGCUCUUGGGAGGAAUCAUGAUUUUAUGAGAAGUAUUAGUAUCGCUGUGGUUGCUACUACUCUUACUGCCACGAUUUUCUUGUCUGACUCACAAUGUUUCCCUUUGGCUUAAACUUCUUCUUGGAUCUGCCUAGGAGAUCAUUCAGGAAGAGAGACCAGCACUCUCUCCCCCAGCCCUCAGAUUUGUUUGAAGAGAUCUGUAUGAAUCUGGAGAGAGAGAGAGAGACAGAUCUCGGUCCCAAGGUUGGGCAGAGCUACUGCAGCUGCAAGGUUAUAGGCCCAUAAAUAAAGUUUAUGGUUAAACUGGU